rnacentral:lncRNA from 1 species
ACACACACACACACACACUGUGUAUAUAUAUCUUUUUCUCUAUGUGUACACAGUCCAUAGAGUAAUCAUUGUCAUGGGGAAGGGUUUAACAUUCUUGACCUACUCGGAAACUUCUUAAAAAUACACAAAACAUGCUUAGAAUGCCAAUGAGUCUGCACGUAAAGCUAACACCCGGACCUGCUAAUUCAGGCUCCACGUGCGUGAUUAAUAAUGCAGAAGAAGAAAGCUUGAGAGUUACUGUGCUGCGUGGGUUCUGGGAGGCAGCAAUCAUUGCCCGUCACUGACGAUGUGGGCUAACAAGUUCCAGAAAUGGUCCAAACAGACUUCAACAAUUCUGUGCUAAAAUUAUGGUCUUGUGAGGAGGAUUCAAGCUCAUCUGUACUCUACCACCACCUCUGCCUCCUGUAGAUCAAACAGCCAGAGAUUCCUGUUUCUUCAAGAGGCCUGCAACCACCCCCACCCUUGAAGGCCAAUGAUAAGUAGUUGUGGAAAAUGGAUUUCUGACUAUCCAGCCUCCUAAGAUUAAGAAAUGGACGUCUGAGGGAGAAGAUGAG